rnacentral:rRNA from 1 species
GCUUGUCUCAAAGAUUAAGCCAUGCAUGUGUUAGUAUAAACGCCUUUAUACUGUGAACUGCGAACGGCUCAUUAUAUCAGUUAUAGUUUAUUUGAUACUUUUCGACUAUUGGAUAACCGUAGUAAUUCUAGAGCUAAUACAUGCAUCAAACCCCGACUUCUGGAAGGGGUGUAUUUAUUAGAUGGAAACCAAUGCGGGGCAACCCGGAAUAUGGUGAUUCAUAAUAACUUUCGGAUCGAUUUAUCGAUGCAUCAUUCAAGUUUCUGCCCUAUCAGCUUUGGAUGGUAGGGUAUUGGCCUACCAUGGCUUUAACGGGUAACGGAGAAUUAGGGUUCGAUUCCGGAGAGGGAGCCUGAGAAAUGGCUACCACAUCCAAGGAAGGCAGCAGG